AGCGAACGCUGGCGGCAGGCCUAACACAUGCAAGUCGAACGAACCUUUCGGGGUUAGUGGCGGACGGGUGAGUAACACGUGGGAACGUUCCUUUAGGUUCGGAAUAACUCAGGGAAACUUGUGCUAAUACCGAAUGUGCCCUUCUGGGGAAAGAUUUAUCGCCUUUAGAGCGGCCCGCGUCUGAUUAGCUAGUUGGUUGAGGUAAUGGCUCACCAAGGCGACGAUCAGUAGCUGGUCUGAGAGGAUGAUCAGCCACAUUGGGACUGAGACACGGCCCAAACUCCUACGGGAGGAAGCAGUGGGGAAUCUUGCGCAAUGGGCGAAAGCCUGACGCAGCCAUGACGCGUGAAUGAUGAAGGUCUUAGGAUUGUAAAAUUCUUUUACCGGGGACGAUAAUGACGGUACCCGGAGAAGAAGCCCCGGCUAACUUCGUG
rnacentral:rRNA from 1 species